CCCGGGUCUUGUACACACCGCCCGUCACACCACGAGAGUUUACAACACCCGAAGUCGGUGGGGUAAUCCGCAAGGGAGCCAGCCGCCGAAGGUGGGGUAGAUGAUUGGGGUG
rnacentral:rRNA from 1 species